rnacentral:rRNA from 1 species
UACAGAGGGGGCAAGCGUUGUUCGGAAUUACUGGGCGUAAAGCGCACGCAGGUGGCUGAGCGAGUCGAUUGUGAAAGCCCUGGGCUUAACCUGGGAAUUGCAGUCGAUACUACUCAGCUAGAGUAUGGGAGAGGGUAGUGGAAUUCCCGGUGUAGCGGUGAAAUGCGUAGAUAUGCGGAGGAACACCGAUGGCGAAGGCAAUCCCCUGGACCUGUACUGACGCUCAUGCACGAAAGCGUGGGGAGCAAACAGG